GUUACUCAUCGCAUCAGAUGAAUGCCUCGACUCUAGAAUCCGAUGAAGGACGUGGUCAGCUGCGAUAUGCUUCGGUGAGCCGCUAGACAGGCGCUACCAGCCGGAGAUUUCCGAAUGGGGAAACCCACAUGAGGUUAUGCUCAUGUACUUCAUAUUUAUAUGUUGUGGUCACCUUGUGAACUGAAACAUCUCAGUAACAAGGGAAGAUAAAUCAAUAGAGAUUCCCUUAGUAGUGGCGAGCGAACGGGGAACAGCCCAAACCUCAUUAUUUUAUGAUGGGGGGUUGUAGGACUCCAUAAUCGAUUAAUGUAUUGUAGGCAAACGACCCUGGAACGGGCGGCCAUAGAGGGUGAGAGCCCCGUCGCCGAAACAGUACAUUACGUGGGAGUAUCCUGAGUAAGGUCGGACACGUGAAAUCCGGCCCGAAUCUGGGAGGACCACCUUCCAAGGCUAAAUAGUUCUAGAGAUCAAUAGUGGAUAGUACCGCGAGGGAAAGGUGAAAAGCACCCCGGAAGGGGGAUGAAAUAGUCUCUGAAAUCUGAUGCGUCCAAAGAAUGGGAGUCCCGCUCUGCGGGAUGACCGUGUGCCUUUUGCAUAAUGAGCCAACGAGUUGCUCGUCUGUGGUCGGCUAAGGGAGUCAAAACCCGGAGCCAGAGCGAAAGCGAGUCCGAAUAGGGCGUUUAUGAUCGCAGGCGGCAGACCCGAAACCGGGUGAGCUACCCAUGGGCAGGGUGAAGGUCGUCGGAAGACGGCUGGAGGCCCGCACCCACGCAUGUCACAAGAUGCGGGGAUGACCUGUGGGUAGGGGUGAAAAGCCUACCGAACCCGGAGAUAGCUGGUUCUCCUCGAAAUGCCUUUAGGGGCAGCCUC
rnacentral:rRNA from 1 species